UGGGGAAUAUUGCACAAUGGGCGAAAGCCUGAUGCAGCAACGCCGCGUGCGGGAUGACGGCCUUCGGGUUGUAAACCGCUUUCAGCAGGGACGAAGGGUUUCUGACGGUACCUGCAGAAGAAGCACCGGCUAACUACGUGCCAGCAGCCGCGGUGAUACGUAGGGUGCGAGCGUUGUCCGGAAUUAUUGGGCGUAAAGAGCUCGUAGGUGGUUUGUUGCGUCGGAAGUGAAAACUCAGGGCUUAACCCUGAGCCUGCUUUCGAUACGGGCAGACUAGAGGAAGGUAGGGGAGAACGGAAUUCCUGGUGGAGCGGUGGAAUGCGCAGAUAUCAGGAGGAACACCGGUGGCGAAGGCGGUUCUCUGGACCUUUCCUGACGCUGAGGAGCGAAAGCGUGGGGAGCAAACAGGCUUAGAUACCCUGGUAGUCCACGCCGUAAACGGUGGGCACUAGGUGUGGGGGACAUUCCACGUUCUCCGUGCCGUAGCUAACGCAUUAAGUGCCCCGCCUGGGGAGUACGGCCGCAAGGCUAAAACUCAAAGGAAUUGACGGGGUCAUAGCUGUUUCCUG
rnacentral:rRNA from 1 species